rnacentral:tRNA from 1 species
GGAGAGGUGGCAGAGCGGUUUAUUGCAGCGGUCUUGAAAACCGUCGUGGGUAAAACCACCGGGGGUUCGAAUCCCUCCCUCUCCG